rnacentral:rRNA from 1 species
UACGUAGGGGGCUAGCGUUGUCCGGAAUCAUUGGGCGUAAAGCGCGUGUAGGCGGUUCGGUAAGUCCGCUGUGAAAGUCGGGGGCUCAACCCUCGGAUGCCGGUGGAUACUGUCGGACUAGAGUACGGAAGAGGCGAGUGGAAUUCCUGGUGUAGCGGUGAAAUGCGCAGAUAUCAGGAGGAACACCGAUGGCGAAGGCAGCUCGCUGGGACGGUACUGACGCUGAGGCGCGAAAGCGUGGGGAGCAAACAGG